GACGAACGCUGGCGGCGUGCCUAAUACAUGCAAGUAGAACGCUGAAGCGAGGAGCUUGCUCUUCUUGGAUGAGUUGCGAACGGGUGAGUAACGCGUAGGUAACCUGCCUGGUAGCGGGGGAUAACUAUUGGAAACGAUAGCUAAUACCGCAUAAAAUGGAUUAUCGCAUGAUAAUCCAUUGAAAGGUGCAAAUGCAUCACUACCAGAUGGACCUGCGUUGUAUUAGCUAGUUGGUGGGGUAACGGCUCACCAAGGCGACGAUACAUAGCCGACCUGAGAGGGUGAUCGGCCACACUGGGACUGAGACACGGCCCAGACGCCUACGGGAGGCAGCAGUAGGGAAUCUUCGGCAAUGGACGGAAGUCUGACCGAGCAACGCCGCGUGAGUGAAGAAGGGUUUCGGAUCGUAAAGCUCUGUUGUAAGAGAAGAACGAGUGUGAGAGUGGAAAGUUCACACUGUGACGGUAUCUUACCAGAAAGGGACGGCUAACUACGUG
rnacentral:rRNA from 1 species